rnacentral:rRNA from 1 species
CCUACGGGAGGCAGCAGUGGGGAAUAUUGGACAAUGGGCGAAAGCCUGAUCCAGCCAUGCCGCGUGUGUGAAGAAGGCCUUCGGGUUGUAAAGCACUUUCAGUGGGGAAGAAAGCCUUGGGGCUAAUACCCUCGAGGAAGGACAUCACCCACAGAAGAAGCACCGGCUAACUCCGUGCCAGCAGCCGCGGUAAUACGGAGGGUGCGAGCGUUAAUCGAAAUUACUGGGCGUAAAGCGCGCGUAGGCGGUCUGAUAAGCCGGUUGUGAAAGCCCCGGGCUCAACCUGGGAACGGCAUCCGGAACUGUCAGGCUAGAGUGCAGGAGAGGAAGGUAGAAUUCCCGGUGUAGCGGUGAAAUGCGUAGAGAUCGGGAGGAAUACCAGUGGCGAAGGCGGCCUUCUGGACUGACACUGACGCUGAGGUGCGAAAGCGUGGGUAGCAAACAGGAUUAGAUACCCGAGUAGUC